rnacentral:rRNA from 1 species
GACGAACGCUGGCGGCGUGCUUAACACAUGCAAGUCGAACGGAAAGGCCCUGCUUUUGUGGGGUGCUCGAGUGGCGAACGGGUGAGUAACACGUGAGUAACCUGCCCUUGACUUUGGGAUAACUUCAGGAAACUGGGGCUAAUACCGGAUAGGAGCUCCUGCUGCAUGGUGGGGGUUGGAAAGUUUCGGCGGUUGGGGAUGGACUCGCGGCUUAUCAGCUUGUUGGUGGGGUAGUGGCUUACCAAGGCUAUGACGGGUAGCCGGCCUGAGAGGGUGACCGGCCACACUGGAACGGAGACACGGGUCAGACGCGGACGGGAGGCAGCAGUGGGGAAUAUUGGACAAGGGGCGCAAGCCGGAGGCAGCCAGACCGAGGGGGUGAAGAAGGUCUUCGGGGGGUAAAGCCCUGUGGUGGGGAAAGAAAAGCAGCAGGGGAAGACCCCGCCGUUCUGACGGGACCCAAAGAAUAAGGACCGGCGAACUUCGUG